rnacentral:rRNA from 1 species
ACGGGUGAGUAAUAUAUCGGAACGUGCCCAGUUGUGGGGGAUAGCCCGGCGAAAGCCGGAUUAAUACCGCAUACGACCUGAGGGUGAAAGCGGGGGAUCGCAAGACCUCGCGCAAUUGGAGCGGCCGAUAUCAGAUUAGCUAGUUGGUGGGGUAAAGGCCUACCAAGGCGACGAUCUGUAGCUGGUCUGAGAGGACGACCAGCCACACUGGGACUGAGACACGGCCCAGACUCCUACGGGAGGCAGCAGUGGGGAAUUUUGGACAAUGGGCGCAAGCCUGAUCCAGCCAUGCCGCGUGCGGGAAGAAGGCCUUCGGGUUGUAAACCGCUUUUGUCAGGGAAGAAACGGUCUGAUCUAAUAAAUUGGACUAAUGACGGUACCUGAAGAAUAAGCACCGGCUAACUACGUGCCAGCAGCCGCGGUAAUACGUAGGGUGCAAGCGUUAAUCGGAAUUACUGGGCGUAAAGCGUGCGCAGGCGGCUAUGCAAGACAGAUGUGAAAUCCCCGGGCUCAACCUGGGAACUGCAUUUGUGACUGCAUGGCUAGAGUACGGUAGAGGGGGAUGGAAUUCCGCGUGUAGC